rnacentral:rRNA from 1 species
UUACCCCGCCUGGAAAUAAGCAUAUCAAUAAGCGGAGGAAAAGAAACCAACAGGGAUUGCCCUAGUAACGGCGAGUGAAGCGGCAACAGCUCAAAUUUGAAAGCUGGCUCCGGCCCGCAUUGUAAUUUGCAGAGGAUGCUUUUGGUGAGGUGCCUUCCGAGUUCCCUGGAACGGGACGCCAUAGAGGGUGAGAGCCCCGUAUGGAUGGACACCAAACCUGUGUAAAGCUCCUUCAACGAGUCGAGUAGUUUGGGAAUGCUGCUCAAAAUGGGAGGUAAAUCUCUUCUAAAGCUAAAUACCGGCCAGAGACCGAUAGCGCACAAGUAGAGUGAUCGAAAGAUGAAAAGCACCUUGAAAAGGGGGUUAAACAGUACGUGAAAUUGUUAAAAGGGAAGCGCUUGUGACCAGACUUGCGCCGGGCAGCUCAUCAGGGGUUCUCCCCUGUGCACUCUGCCCGGCUCAGGCCAGCAUCGGUUCUCGUGGGAGGAUAAGAACAGUAGGAAUGUGGCCCCCUCUCGGGGGGGUGUUAUAGCCUAUUGUACGAUACUCUCGUGGGGACCGAGGUUCGCGCUCCGCAAGGAUGCUGGCGUAAUGGUCAUCAGCGACCCGUCUUGAAACACGGACCAAGGAGUCGUCCAUUAGAGCGAGCGUUUGGGUGUAAAACCCGCACGCGUAAUGAAAGUGAACGCAGGUGAGAGCUUCGGCGCAUCAUCGACCGAUCCUGAUGUCUUCGGAUGGAUUUGAGUAAGAGUUUUAACGGACGGACCCGAAAGACAGUGAACUAUGCUUGUAUAGGGUGAAGCCAGAGGAAACUCUGGUGGAGGCUCGCAGCGGUUCUGACGUGCAAAUCGAUCGUCAAAUAUGAGCAUGGGGGCGAAAGACUAAUCGAACUGUCUAGUAGCUGGUUACCGCCGAAGUUCUCCCUUCAGGGAA